AAAGACUGAAGAACUGGGUCCUAACAGAACUUCUUUUAAUAUACAGUAGCUAAUCAUAAACACUGCUGUCACUCAUAAUAUACACUGCAUGUCAAAUGCAGGGUUUUCCACCUCUCUGAUUUGUGAUACCAAUAUAAAUGACAAACAGAAGCAAUAAAAGAUCAGGAAAUGAUCAGCAGAUAGCCCAUUUAUGUGGUGACCAUUGUCUCAGGUUUCUUAGGCUGUGUGAUUAGGAACAGUGAAAGAACUCUAUGGGAUCGACUCCACAAUGCAAAAUUCUGUAUAAUGGAAUGUGGAAGGGGUCUAGGGCUUCUCACAUAGUCACGGACUUUACUGGGGAACAUUGUGAAAAUUUAAUCUCUAAUUCAGUAGCCCUGGACUUCUGUGUGAAUGAUACAAUAUCAGGUUUUCAAAAGACAUUCCUUGAAUUGAAGCCUCCCAUGGAAAUGAAAGAUUCUGACUCAACAGAGGCCUCAGCCAAGAUGCAUAGACAAGGAUUCCUAGCAGAUGUAGUAGACAUAAAACUGGAAACAGAGAACCAGGAUUAUCCUGAUAGCCGAGAAAAUAUUCAGUCAUCUAACACCAUUACAUCUCUUCAGUCAAAGUGCACUCCUCAUUUAUCAGUUGGAAUAACUUCAAGAUCCACGAGUCUUCUAACUGAAGGAGAGAAAGAUUUCCAUAAGAAAAACCCUGACUGGAAGCCUACCCAGUAUCUGCCUGGAAGUAAAGCUCUAGCUUCAUCGGAAGUAUCAAUGCUGAAGCACAAACAAGAAUUUCCACCAGAAGGAUACUUACAAAUAAAAACAGAGGAAAGUCAGAAAAACCUUGACAGGAAUGAAAACAUGCAAUCAUCUAAUUCUGUUAUACAGCCGAAUCAAAUUCUUCAUUUACAAAUAGGACUAGCACUGAGACCCACAGAUCUUCUGAAUGAAGGAAAAAAAGGCUUUUGUGUUAACAAUUCUGAACAAAAGUCUUCCAUUGAAGAGAACUACGUUCCAACUAAAGAACCGGCAGUAAAGUGUGGACGAGAAUUCCCAGCAGGUAAAUCGUGUGAGGCUGCUCCCUUUGGAAUAACUACUUGAAACAUUCAAAACUCUCAUGCUUGCAGUCUUCUCAUAUCUAAGGCUUGCCUCCCUCCACAAAUGACUAGAAAUUGAUAGAGAUUAUCCAAAUAUCAUUUUCAUAUCGUUUAGAAAUAAGUGGUUACAUAUUAGUAUUAAUUUAGGGAUUAUAAUUAAUUAUUUCCGUUUCUAUGGAUCAGCCUACCCAUGUUUCCACUUUGGAUGCCCAAAUGUCUUGCAGGUGAUCUUAGUUUAGUAAGGAACAAUAUACAUUUUAUGAAGUUUAAAAGUGCUUACUCAAGAUAUUAUGUGGUGGUCUAUAACUG
rnacentral:lncRNA from 1 species